rnacentral:rRNA from 1 species
GUAGGUGGCAAGCGUUGUCCGGAAUUAUUGGGCGUAAAGCGCGCGCAGGGCGGUCCUUUAAGUCUGAUGUGAAAGCCCACGGCUCAACCGUGGAGGGUCAUUGGAAACUGGGGGACUUGAGUACAGAAGAGGAAAGCGGAAUUCCAAGUGUAGCGGUGAAAUGCGUAGAGAUUUGGAGGAACACCAGUGGCGAAGGCGGCUUUCUGGUCUGUAACUGACGCUGAGGCGCGAAAGCGUGGGGAGCAAACAGGAUUAGAUACCCUGGUAGUCCACGCCGUAAACGAUGAGUGCUAAGUGUUAGGGGGUUUCCGCCCCUUAGUCCUGCAGCUAAUGCAUUAAGCACUCCGCCUGGGGAGUACGGCCGCAAGGCUG